UCUUGCUGAAAGUUUCUGAGAAAUCUUGUUGUAGAGCGAUGUUUUUUUCUCUUUAACUAGUAAGUUUUUUAUACUAUUGUAUGCAGAAUCACGCCAUCAAGUGUCUCUUCAAACAGUUAAUUUAUUACUUGAAACUCAUGGGGGAGCAGCAUGGGCACCGCCUAUGGCAUCUGUCACCAUACGCAAUUUGUUGCUGUAUACCACAAAUGAAAGCUGGGAGGUAAUUAUGUUUCAGGUCGUGCUUAUAAUUAAUUUGGGACCCUUGGUAUAAAUAUUAUUGAAGAUUUUUUUCCGUUUGCAUUAUCGUGCUUACAAUAGAGGAUUUUGUCCAUCACCGAAGCUGGUAAACAAAAGUUUGCACAAAUCGACGAUGGAACCGACAUUAACUUUGUUCGAGGAAGCAGUUGCAGAUUCACAGGAAAAGAUCAAUGCCUUAAUCAGCGAUUUUGGUAUUUCAGAGUUUUCUGGGCAGCAACUUACCAUUGCUAAAGAACUCAGUCAAAAGAUUGAAUCAAUGGAGGGUUUAUUGAAGCAAUUAUGGAAUAAAACCUAGUCCCAUUCAUAUUUGUAUGUAAUUAGAAUUUAAAAUUGUCCUUUUUCUUUAUUGAUAUAUUUUACAUAGAUCACAAUUCUUUGUAUAUAGCAAAGAUCAUAUUGCCGAGUGUUGUAUAAAAUAGUUAGAAAUUAGGAUUCUUCAUUAUUGUAAGAAAAAUUUUGUUCGGUUGAGCCUGUACUGCUACGAAAUAACAAUUUUGGUAGCUUGCUUUUAUCUCAUGAAAUUUUCUUUUGGGUGUUUUAAUUUGUUCACGUGUAGUACUGUAUUAAGAAAAUGGCUGAUUUUUUUGGUUAUGGAGGGGGUGUAGGUGUUUUGCAGGAUUAUGGAAGAUGGAAGUUUUACACCGUUAUGUGGGACAGCUUUUUUAUCAGAGUUGGUAUGGAGAAAUCGGACUCUCCGUGUUCUUUGUUUCCAAAAAUUUAUAUGCAAAUCGGAUGGUCCGUUUUGCUUAAAGGAGAUGAAACUCACAUAAUGGAAAUCGGACCCUGUAAUUUCUCAUUGAACAAAUCGGACCCUGCGAUUUCUUUGACAUUUGAGUUUUUUAGUUCAAACAGAUGAAAUAGAAAUGGUUGAGGGAGGAAGAAGAUGAAGGCUUCGAAGCUGGCUGGGGAAGAAAGAGAAAAUGAAAUUCCUGGGUACGCAUGCAAUAGAGGAGGUUGGCUGUGUUAAAUAGGCACCGGGUGCACCUGGACAACGACACGUGGAUAGGAGUAACAACAAAUUGAACGGUCCGCUUUGCCAGCAGGAACUCACACGGUCCGAAUUGCGUCCACGGUCCAAGUUCUAUUUUUUCUGACACCACCCCAAUGUUAAGCACCCCUCCUCCCCAUAUCAGCAUCUAGCACCAGCUAUGCCUCCAUAUUAAAAUUCAAAAGCGUCAGAAAAUGUUUAAUUAAUAUUUAUCAAGUUAAAGUUGCUUUAGAUAAUGGAUAGUGGAAAUCCUCAUUCCGUACAUCUCCUCGUCAAUUUGGGCAUGAGCUCGCAGCCUAAAUUAUGAGGGAGAAUGAAUGGCUCUGUGACUCCAUAUUUCGCCUUGAAGGGAAAGCAAAGCUACAUCUCGUCAAAGCAAAGGGCUUACCCCAAAAAAAGCCCUUUCUCGUUUAUGGAGCGACCUGUGCGCAGAUUUAAAUGACAGGAUUUGAUAGUUUUCUCAUUAAUUCGGGAUCCUUACCACAGCGGUGCCGAAGUUUGGUUACGCCUCAGGCUCGGGGGUCUAUCCCGCGUCCCAAAAUAAGGGUUCCCAGAAAUGGAAUUUCGCACCAUGCUAAAUCUGGGGGUGGCAUAAUAGCCGCGGAGUUGCUUAUGAUUUUUGAUAGGAGUUGUGGCCGACCUGGGUUCCAUUCAUGGGGAAAGUAGCCCAGCCGAUUACUAUGUAUUACUAUUAUAUAUUAUCUGAUAGGGAUGUCACUUCAGCUAAUAAAUAUUUAUUUUAGCAAGUUCUGAUUAACGUGCACCAGCCCCUCCUGAUGCGUCCCCUUCUUAUACUAUUCUUUCUCUUUCGAGUAUGAGAAAUUCCUCCCCCUCGUAGAUUUAAUGUUCUGUACGAAGAAGGCUAAACCUAUUCAUUUCGGGAUAAAACCAUGGGCAAAGCACAAUGGAUUUCUUUCUUCCAAAACUUGACUGAUGAUCAAAUAGUCUGGAGAGCACCAUGGCUGGCACAAGUACCAAUCCUGUACCGUUGCGGGGAUUACCCCUGGGUCAUAUUAUUAUUAGGGCUUUGGGGCGGCAUCAGUUAUGCACCAGCAAUGCUUCGGCGGCAGCUGGGGUUGGGGUCAUUAGAGUUCAUCAUCCCCAUGACGCAUGGUCUAAGAAAGUGGGAAUUCACUUUCGGGGACCCAAAGACGGCUGAUAUAGUCAGAAUGGUAAUCGACUUUUGGAAGGAAACUCAGCGGAUCAAGACAAGUCGAUACACAAAGCAGACAACUCCAGCCUCUAUGGCAAGCCACUCGUGGUAAAGGUUUUCUAGCCCCGAUGGUGUUCAGACCAGAGUUAUCAGCGCCUAUGAAAUUGGAAGCCCAAUCUUAUGUGGUCGAAACCAAAGCCGGGAAUGAAGUGUCACACUCAGGAUGGUCGACCAAGACUGCCUCCUUAGCAGCCGUCAAUUAAAGGCUUCGGUACUAAGCUCACUGCUCCGGGAACCCUCUUCCAUUCGGAGCACGCAUCGUAAUCGUACAGUAAUAUGUGCCCUACAGUAAUACAGACGACUCUAGUUUUUGGUAAGUACAUGCCAAUUUUGAGUUUUGUGAAUGUUAGUCACCGUCCUGCAUAGUUGUGAUAAACUCUCAGAGAAGUAGUUGUUCUUCAACAAAUGGGACCCUGGUGGACAUUAGUGCAAUACAAGCAUAGUUUCUUUCACCUAAAAUGUUGCCAGACCUCUCAAAUAUCUGAUACCUUUGUUAUGUUUUCCUUCUACUAAAUAACAAUAACGAAUACUGUUGCAUUUUUCUAGUUGCUCUAGAUGUUAAAUUCAAGGUUUUUACCAUUUUAGUCUUUCAAAUUCAAAAAUCAUUAUACUGAUUUUCAAGAUCCAAUUUUGAGUACCAUAUUAUUUACUUGAGUUAGCAAAGAAAGUACUAAGUUGCCUCUAAUUUGUCGCGAUGGAUAUAGGGUUAAACGGUGUCAUUUCAUUUUGUUUAAAUAAGACAAAAAUAAAAAGACAAAAAAAAAAAAUUACAUGAUACACAUUAUUUUAUCUCCUCAUUCUCUAAAACGAUAUCGUUUUUGCCUUGUUUAAGUUCCAAAACGAAACAUCAUUUAGUCCUGUGUCUAGUGUGAUAAGUCAAAACUAGCUCAUUAUUCGGUUCAAGUUCAAAGGACCAUAUAGUACCUGUAGCUGAAUUUCAGAAACCAGAAUAAUAAAUUUUGAAUCUAAAAAACUAAACUGCUAAAGACUAUAAAUCUCAAAAACCAUUAUAAAAAUUUAGUCUAUAAAGUGCAUGUAAUUCUUUAAUUAAUAUAGUAUACAUAUUACACUUUCGGAGGGUUAGAAAUCCAUAUUAUACUUUAACUGGCUCAUGUUAAAUUAAGCCUAAACUUCACUCUAUGACUAAUAAAGAUGAAACCUUUUUCCUAGAUGGUUAGAAAUUAUUUCUCAAGGCAGAAAAAAGAAUGUAAAGUGCUACACAUUAAACUCUUUCACGACAUAAAUAUACAUCAACAUAAAGUAAAUUGAAUAAAGAAUAUUGAGGGGGAAAGAAUGUUAAAAUCAAUAUUUUACAACUGCUGCUCUAGAAAUGACUCAAAGUAGGAAUCAAAUUCUAAAUGGGAUACAACAAUAAAGAUAGUACAAAAGAUAUUUCUUAUAACAACAUUGCUUCGUGAAAGCUCCAGCCUCCAGACAAGUCUGUACAGAAAUAUUUGUUCGAGGAUUGUUAGUACCAAGCCACUUCCACGAUCAAUGAAGAAACACAUUCAAUCAUCCAUCUGCAAAUUUAAGUAAAAAAAAAAAAAUCCACGACUCUAAGUUCAAAUCUUAAUUAUGCUAUGCUAUCUAAGGGCAUGUUAGUAAGGAAUAUAGUUUCAGUACCGCUUCCAACUUGAAUCUAUGGACUCUCUUCAUCCGAACUACUGUCACCUAUCCUCCUUUCAGCAAUUGCUGGAAAGAGCCGCUGACGAAAAUCAGAAGGUGGCGGACGAGUCUCUGAGGAAGAUGAUCCU